rnacentral:rRNA from 1 species
CCCUUAGAUGUUCUGGGCCGCACGCGCGCUACACUGAUGCAUUCAACGAGUCUAAAACCUGCUCUGAUAGGGGUGGGUAAUCUUUUGAAUGUGCAUCGUGAUUGGGAUAGAUGAUUGCAAUUUUUCAUCUUCAACGAGGAAUGCCUAGUAAACGCAAGUCAUCAGCUUGCAUUGAUUACGUCCCUGCCCUUUGUACACACCGCCCGUCGCUCCUACCGAUUGAAUGAUCCGAUGAAUAUCAUGGAUUUAGGAUGCAAGCAGGUUCGCCUGUCUUCAUCUUCGAGAAGUGAAGUAAAUCUUAUCAUUUAGAGGAAGGAGAAGUCGUAACA